rnacentral:rRNA from 1 species
GAUGAACGCUGGCGGCGCGCCUAACACAUGCAAGUCGAACGGCACCCCUCCUCGGAGGGAAGCGAGUGGCGAACGGCUGAGUAACACGUGGAGAACCUGCCCCCUCCCCCGGGAUAGCCGCCCGAAAGGAUGGGUAAUACCGGAUACCCCGGGGUGCCGCAUGGCACCCCGGCUAAAGCCCCGACGGGAGGGGAUGGCUCCGCGGCCCAUCAGGUAGACGGCGGGGUGACGGCCCACCGUGCCGACAACGGGUAGCCGGGUUGAGAGACCGACCGGCCAGAUUGGGACUGAGACACGGCCCAGACUCCUACGGGAGGCAGCAGUGGGGAAUCUUGCGCAAUGGGGGGAACCCUGACGCAGCGACGCCGCGUGCGGGACGGAGGCCUUCGGGUCGUAAACCGCUUUCAGCAGGGAAGAGUCAAGACUGUACCUGCAGAAGAAGCCCCGGCUAACUACGUG